GAGGGCCACCACACGAUUGCAGUGUAUAUUGGCUAGAACUGUGCAUCCAAUCCACCGAUUCAACAUUCAACAACGAAAACGCGACCAGAGCUGGUGCCACCGUCCGUGCUGUAAAAUCAUGUGCGCGCCCCGGACAAAAAUCAACGUAAGACGAAUCACGUGUUGGUGGAGCAUUUGCGGUUGUCUGUUACCGAUAGUGAACAUUAUUGCGGAUGACUCGUCAUUGAUGCAUGUGAAAGUGAAACUCCCGAAGUUGUUCAAGUACGAUGAUUUCGACGAGUGCAGGAAGAUGAACCCCCAGUUUCAUUAUUGUGUAGUUCGAGCAGUUAUACAUCCUGAUGAAAGCUCGGAUGUGUGGCAUAAUAUCAGUCUGCUUUCGGUAAACCCUCUGAACUUUCCGUACGAUCACCUUGAGCGCGGUGUUUGUCUUCAUGACUGCCUCCGACGGAUCUUCCCGGACAAACCACUUCAAAUAGACCAGAUGGAUAUAUUAGCGAGCAACGAUGAACUGCGACUGGAUUAUUUCAGCCGGUGUGUCAACAUGGAACUAGAGUCAACUUUUAAACUUCAAGCUUCGGUGACCAUUUCGCACUGCCUAUUGGAGAAUGAUUUGAGCCAUGAGUUUGGCUUGGCAGAUCAGAUUUUCAUCGGAUUAGUAAUUCUGCUUAUGCUACUGGUUGGUGUGGCCACUGUGCGGGACUACAAUGGAACUAAGAGCAAGUAUGACCAUCUAGUGCAACCGUUUUCUCUCCCUCGCAACAUUAACAAGCUGCUCGAUACCUCCGAAACGGGCGGCAAUCUUGUCCACUUAGAAGGCAUGCGUGCUCUGGGUAUGCUGGUUAUUAUCCUCGUGCAUUCGUCACUGCCCUUCAUACGCAUGCCUCUGAGUAACCCAGAAGAUAUGGAAUCGCAAACAAAUAACUUUUCGUUCCCGAUCUGGAACUCGGCCAAUACGCACAUGAUCACUUUUUUCUUCGCUCUCGGAGGAAUGGUGCUGGCCGUCAGUUUCCUCAGACAAAUCGAAAAGUCACCAACCGUUGAUAUUCGGUAUCUAGGGAGCAAAUUGUUGAACCGGUUGGCACGGCUCGUACCAGCAUACGCAUUCAUGAUCUUCUAUGAGGCGACGUUAUUCAAAUACACCAAACAAACACCCCACGCCGCCAACUUUGUUGAUUACUGCAGUGAACACUGGUGGUCAAAUUUACUGUUCAUCAAUAACUACGUUCACUUGGAUGAACCAUGCAUGAAAUUUGGCUGGUAUCUAGGGGCUGACUUUCAACUGUUUCUGAUCGGACUGGCCAUCAUGACACUUAUUUGGAGAUUUCCCGGAAGUGAAAGAACAUGCAUUGGCGUAAUGAUUUUCGUUAGUUUUUGGAUACCUGGUUACGUCAUCUACAGUGAAAAGCUAGACGCAACAAUGACAUUUAAUAUGCGACAUGCUUUAACCGAAUUACGCGAAUACGAUGUGUUCUCAAAGUAUUACACUCCGACGCACACUAAUGCCGGAACUUACUUCUUCGGAAUGAUCGCCGGAAUUCUAUAUCACCAUACCUCAAGAAAUAAACUUCACGCCAAAGCCGAACGGUAUCUAUCUAGGGCCCUUUCAGUUAGUCUGGCAAUAUUCUUCAGUUUGAACGGAUUGCUCGCUGUUGUACCGUUUAUGCCACUGCAAAAACCGUCAUUAUUUCUAUCUGUUUUUGGAUCUGCGCUCAAAGCUAUCUUCGGUAUUGUCUUUGGCAUAUUGUUCCUUUAUUUCGGCUUCCGAACUGUUUCAAUGAGUGGGGCAUUCCUUCAGCAUCCUAUACUACGAGUGAUAGGACGAUUGAGUUACUGUGUCUACAUUGUUCAGUACGCGGUCAUCUACAUGAUCUACAGUAACAUGGCAAUGCCGAUCCUGUAUAGUGGUUUUAAUAUGAUAUUCAUUACUUCUGCGGUUCUCUUCAUCUCAUUACUGAUCGGUACGAUGCUGUACCUCGUCGUCGAAGUUCCAUGCGUUUCCGUAUUGAGGCGAUUAAUCGAUGGAAAAUGAAGAUUGUUUUAGAGCGGCAAAUAAAUAUUUGUUUAAUAGGAAUAGGUGCAUAAUUUUUAAAAAACAAAGAUCAGGGUUGUGAUGCUGCUUUAUUUAGGCUGUGAACCAUUUCGCGGUUAAUUUUAACUUUUGGUUAAAAUCUGACACUUGAGUGGUUAUUUUGUGUCGAGUAGUUAAAUUCAACUAAAACUGUGGACCAUUUCGAAAUUUGACGGACGGAAAGUUAUUCGGGUUUAUUUUCCACUGGAAAUAAUUUCAACUAAAGAAUUAAUAUUAGAAUUUUCAUUGCAAGAUUUUUUUCAGUGUCAGAAAAUAACUAUCGAUCUGUCAAAAAUAACCAUGCUCUCGAGCAGGGUUAUUUUUGACAACAUCGAAUUAACCGCUCGAGUGUCAGAUUUUAACCAAAAGUUAAAAUUAACCGCGAAAUGGUUCACAGCCUUAGUAUAGUUUAGAUCACUUAGGUUCUAACAGUGUUGUUUAUCUAGUCCAUUUAAACAUGAUUAAAAGUUUUAUUGAAAAUAAAUGGUUUUAUAUGAAUAAUUGUAAGAGGAAAAAAUAUUUUACCUCUUAAUUUAUGCUAGGUGCAUAUACCCAUUUUGAUUUAACAUAAACUGCUACGCACUGAUGAGUCAAAAACGAAACGUAAAGUAAGAUAAAUGGUUUUAUAUAUUUUCUUUUCAUACGAAUGACAGUUUUAACUUAAGAAUAUGCACACUGAAAUAAAAAUCUUUUUUACAUUCAUUAGAUUCGUCAUAUGAAUCGUAUGCAUCGUAUAACUCAUUGAAGCCAUAUGAAAAUUUAUAUUUUUUAUUAAGAAUGUACAUGAAGUCUAAAUUAGUGUAACAAUAAUGAAUUGAUAAGAAUAUCACAUACAAUUUAUAUGAAAACUCGAUAGAACUUAUCCCAUUUCGUAAUGUAUGUGGUGAGUCCUCGAUAUUCAUCAGCUGCUUCAGGCAGUUCACCUGGGAUUUCUGCAUCAUAAAGCAAUUUAUAAUCGCAGACACGUUAGUUCUUUCAACUCCCAUUAAGGAUAUAUUUAGGAAUCAUGAAAUAAUACGCUUUGGGGUCACACUUCUUUAAGGUUAAUAUCAAAAAGUGCUUCCAGGGAUUCACCAGUAGUAAAGCUCGAAUCCUGAAAGAACAGCGCGAUAACAGAAAAUCAACGUUCGACGUAAGUGUAAAAACGAAAUUAUUAU